CGGAUAUGACACUCGCACGCAUGUGCAGGGUGUGGAAAGUUUUUCGGUCUGGGAUGGGCUCGCGGCCUAUCAGCUUGUUGGUGAGGUAGUGGCUCACCAAGGCGACGACGGGUAGCCGGCCUGAGAGGGCGACCGGCCACACUGGGACUGAGACACGGCCCAGACUCCUACGGGAGGCAGCAGUGGGGAAUAUUGCACAAUGGGCGAAAGCCUGAUGCAGCGACGCCGCGUGAGGGAUGACGGCCUUCGGGUUGUAAACCUCUUUCAGCAGGGAAGAAGCGCAAGUGACGGUACCUGCAGAAGAAGCACCGGCUAACUACGUGCCAGCAGCCGCGGUAAUACGUAGGGUGCGAGCGUUGUCCGGAAUUAUUGGGCGUAAAGAGCUUGUAGGCGGUUUGUCGCGUCUGCUGUGAAAAUCCGGGGCUCAACCCCGGACUUGCAGUGGGUACGGGCAGGCUAGAGUGUGGUAGGGGAGACUGGAAUUCCUGGUGUAGCGGUGGAAUGCGCAGAUAUCAGGAGGAACACCGAUGGCGAAGGCAGGUCUCUGGGCCACUACUGACGCUGAGAAGCGAAAGCAUGGGGAGCGAACAGGAUUAGAUACCCUGGUAGUCCAUGCCGUAAACGUUGGGCGCUAGGUG
rnacentral:rRNA from 1 species